CGCCCUUAGGAAUCGAACUCACACCUCUAGCUUUCCAGGCAAGUGUGCUAUGGAUUGCACCACCACGGC